rnacentral:rRNA from 1 species
UGUCCCAGCCGCCGCGGUAAUACGGGGGGGGCAAGCGUUGUUCGGAAUUACUGGGCGUAAAGGGCGCGUAGGCGGCGCAGGAAGUCAUGGGUGAAAUCCCUCGGCUUAACCGGGGAAUGGCCUGUGAAACCACUGAGCUAGAGUGCUGGAGAGAAAAGUGGAAUUCCUAGUGUAGCGGUGAAAUGCGUAGAUAUUAGGAGGAACACCCGAGGCGAAGGCGGCUUUCUGGACAGACACUGACGCUGAGGCGCGAAAGCCAGGGGAGCAAACGGGAUUAGAUACCCCGGUAGUCCUGGCUGUAAACGAUGAGCACUUGGUGUAGGGGGUGCAUUCAGUCCCUCUGUGCCGAAGAUAACUCGGUAAGUGCUCCGCCUGGGGAGUACGGCCGCAAGGCUGAAACUCAAAGGAAUUGACGGGGGCCCGCACAAGCGGUGGAGCAUGUGGUUUAAUUCGACGCAACGCGAAGAACCUUACCGGGGUUUGAACUGCACCGGCAAUUUUCAGAGAUGAAGAGUUCCUUCGGGUCUGGUGUAGAGGUGCUGCAUGGCUGUCGUCAGCUCGUGUCGUGAGAUGUUGGGUUAAGUCCCGCAACGAGCGCAACCCUUGUUUGUAGUUGCCAUCAGGUGAAGCUGGGCACUCUACGGAGACUGUCGGCGAAAAGCCGGAGGAAGGUGGGGAUGACGUCAAGUCCUCAUGGCCUUUAUGUCCCGGGCUACACACGUGCUACAAUGGGCGGAACAAAGGGCAGCGAACUCGCAAGAGUCAGCGAAUCCCAAAAAUCCGCUCUCAGUUCGGAUUGCAGUCUGCAACUCGACUGCAUGAAGUUGGAAUCGCUAGUAAUCGUGGAUCAGCACGCCGCGGUGAAUACGUUCCCGGGCCUUGUACACACCGCCCGUCACAUCACGAAAGUGGG